rnacentral:tRNA from 1 species
GUCAGGAUGGCCGAGCGGUCUAAGGCGCCAGACUCAAGGUUCACCUUGCCCGCUUAACGCGGGCUCAAACGGGCGUUCUGGUCCUCUCUGAGGGCGUGGGUUCGAAUCCCACUUCUGACA